GACAGAGGGGGCAAGCGUUGCUCGGAAUUACUGGGCGUAAAGGGCGCGUAGGCGGGAUGGCAAGUCGGUCGUGAAAUACCUCGGCUCAACUGAGGAUCGUCGAUCGAUACUGCCGUUCUUGAGGAUUGCAGAGGAGACUGGAAUUCCCGGUGUAGCGGUGAAAUGUGUAGAGAUCGGGAGGAACACCGGUGGCGAAGGCGGGUCUCUGGGCAAUUCCUGACGCUGAGGCGCGAAAGCGUGGGGAGCAAACGGG
rnacentral:rRNA from 1 species